UUGCACUUAUACCGGCCUGA
rnacentral:miRNA from 1 species